UGGGGAAUAUUGGACAAUGGGCGAAAGCCUGAUCCAGCCAUGCCGCGUGAGUGACGAGGGCCUUAGGGUUGUAAAACUCUUUCGUCGGGGACGAUAAUGACGGUACCCGAAGAAGAAGCUCCGGCUAACUUCGUGCCAGCAGCCGCGGUAAUACGAAGGGAGCUAGCGUUGUUCGGAAUCACUGGGCGUAAAGCGCACGUAGGCGGAUAGUUAAGUCAGGGGUGAAAUCCUGGGGCUCAACCCCAGAACUGCCUUUGAUACUGGCUGUCUCGAGGUCGAGAGAGGUUGGUGGAAUUCCUAGUGUAGAGGUGAAAUUCGUAGAUAUUAGGAAGAACACCAGUGGCGAAGGCGGCCAACUGGCUCGAUACUGACGCUGAGGUGCGAAAGCGUGGGGAGCAAACAGGAUUAGAUACCCACGUAGUCCCUGAGCGGGCUGGCAAGGCGCAU
rnacentral:rRNA from 1 species